rnacentral:rRNA from 1 species
CUAUCGGAUUACUGGGCGUAAGGGAGCGUAGGUGGCUCGAUAAGUCAGAUGUGAAAUCCCCGGGCUCAACCUGGGAACUGCAUCUGAUACUGUUGAGCUAGAGUAUGUGAGAGGAAGGUAGAAUUCCAGGUGUAGCGGUGAAAUGCGUAGAGAUCUGGAGGAAUACCGAUGGCGAAGGCAGCCUUCUGGCAUAAUACUGACACUGAGGCUCGAAAGCGUGGGUAGCAAACAGGAUUAGAUACCCUGGUAGUCCACGCCGUAAACGAUGUCUACUAGUCGUUGGGUCCCUUGAGGACUUAGUGACGCAGCUAACGCAAUAAGUAGACCGCCUGGGGAGUACGGCCGCAAGGUUAAAACUCAAAUGAAUUGACGGGGGCCCGCACAAGCGGUGGAGCAUGUGGUUUAAUUCGAUGCAACGCGAAGAACCUUACCUGGUCUUGACAUAUCUAGAAUCCUGCAGAGAUGCGGGAGUGCCUUCGGGAAUUAGAAUACAGGUGCUGCAUGGCUGUCGUCAGCUCGUGUCGUGAGAUGUUGGGUUAAGUCCCGCAACGAGCGCAACCCUUGUCCUUAGUUACCAGCGGGUUAAGCCGGGAACUCUAAGGAUACUGCCAGUGACAAACUGGAGGAAGGCGGGGACGACGUCAAGUCAUCAUGGCCCUUACGACCAGGGCUACACACGUGCUACAAUGGUAGGUACAGAGGGCAGCUACACAGCGAUGUGAUGCGAAUCUCAAAAAGCCUAUCGUAGUCCAGAUUGGAGUCUGCAACUCGACUCCAUGAAGUAGGAAUCGCUAGUAAUCGCGGAUCAGAAUGCCGCGGUGAAUACGUUCCCGGGCCUUGUACACACCGCCCGUCACACCAUGGGAGUUGAUUGCACCAGAAGUGGAUAGCUUAACCUUCGGGAAGGCGUUCACCACGGUGUGGUUGAUGACUGGGGUGAAG